rnacentral:rRNA from 1 species
ACCAGACUCCUACGGGAGGCAGCAGUGGGGAAUAUUGCACAAUGGGGGAAACCCUGAUGCAGCGACGCCGCGUGAGUGAAGAAGUAUUUCGGUACGUAAAGCUCUAUCAGCAGGAAAGAAAAUGACGGUACCUGACUAAGAAGCCCCGGCUAACUACGUGCCAGCAGCCGCGGUAAUACGUAGGGGGCAAGCGUUAUCCGGAUUUACUGGGUGUAAAGGGAGCGUAGACGGCGGGGCAAGUCUGGAGUGAAAGGCCGGGGCCCAACCCCGGGACCGCUCUGGAAACUGCCCGGCUGGAGUGCGGGAGAGGUAAGCGGAAUUCCUAGUGUAGCGGUGAAAUGCGUAGAUAUUAGGAGGAACACCAGCGGCGAAGGCGGCUUACUGGACCGUGACUGACGUUGAGGCUCGAAAGCGUGGGGAGCAAACAGGAUUAGAUACCCGAGUAUU